rnacentral:rRNA from 1 species
GAGUAAAGAUUUCGGUCGCUUUGGGAGGAGCUCGCUUACUAUCAGCUUGUUGGUAGGGUAAUGGCCUACCAAGGCUAUGACGGUUAGGGGGUGUGAGAGCAUGACCCCCAGCAUUGGCACUGAAACACUGGCCAAACACCUACGGGUGGCUGCAGUCGAGAAUCUUCCACAAUGGGGGAAACCCUGAUGGAGCGAUGCUGCGUGCGGGAUGAAGGCCUUCGGGUUGUAAACCGCUUUUGUAGGGGACGAAAUUUUUGACGGUACCCUUUCGAAUAAGAGGUUGCUAACUCUGUGCCAGCAGCAGCGGUAAUACAGAGACCUCAAGCGUUAUCCGGAUUUACUGGGCGUAAAGCGUCUGUAGGGGGUUUAUUAAGUUCCAAGUAAAAUUUCAAGGCUCAACUUUGAAUUCGCUUGGAAAACUAAUAAACUGGAGUCUGGCAGAGGUGCAUGGAACUUGUGGUGUAGGAGUGAAAUCCGUUGAUAUCACAAGGAACACCAAAGGCGAAGGCAUUGCACUGGGCUAGCACUGACCCUGAGAGACGAAAGCGUGGGGAGCAAAACGGAUUAGAUACCCGUGUAGUCCACGCCCUAAACGAUGAAUGCUAAAUGUUCGGGGAUUCGACCCCCUGGGUGUUACAGCUAACGCGUUAAGCAUUCCGCCUGGGAAGUACGGCCGCAAGGCUAAAACUCAAAGGAAUAGACGGGGAUCCGCACAAGCGGUGGAGCGUCUGGUUUAAUUCGACAGUAAGCGUGGUACCUCACCAGGGUUUGACAUCCCUUGACAGCCUUGGAAACAAGGUUUCCUUCGGGCAAGGUGACAGGUGCUGCAUGGUCGUCGUCAGUUCGUGCCGUGAGGUGUUCCGUUAAGUCGGGAAACGAACGAAACCCCUAUUGCAUGUUACAAUUUCUCAUGCAAGACUGCCCGGAUAUACUGGGAGGAAGGUGGGGAUGACGUCAGAUCUGCAUGGUCCUUAUACCCUGGGCGACACAGGCGCUACAAUGGCAGAGACAAAGGGUUGCAAAACCGCAGGGUGAAGCUAAUCCCAAAAACUUUGUCUAAGUUCGGAUUGAAGGCUGCAAUUCGCCUUCAUGAAGCUGGAAUCGCUAGUAAUCGUGAAUCAGCCACGUCACGGUGAUAUGUUCCCGGAUCUUGUACUCACCGCCCGUCACACCAAGAGAGUUGGUAGCUCCCGAAGCGUCCCGUUUUAGCGGGGCAUCACGGAGAGAUCAGCGAUAGGGGUGAAGUCG